CCGCCCCCAGGACGCGUUGUUCGCUGCCGGAGUUUGGGGUGGCAAGGACCGGGCGCACGGCUGAGAUGCGCUGCCCUCCAGAAUGCGAGCCUGUGCACGCGCCUGCGGAGGGGCCACACUCCCUGCAGCGUCCGCGAUGCGCUGUUCCCGCUGGCGCUCGGCGGGCGCUCCCCUGGGCACAUCGAGGCUCUAGUGACCGCAUUAUGAAUUAGUCCUUUCCUUUUCUCCUCAUGUGAUUGCAGCGAGCGCUCGUCUUGUUUGUAAAUCGUGCUGGCAAGCCCCGUUUUAACCAACUACGAAUUUCAUUUCGGAAUGAAAAAGGAGACGCACUUUCGGACAGGGCAGCGGUUGCCGCCGGUCCUUCCUCUGAGCUACCGGUCCCUAGAAGGAAGACCUGCCUUCGACCGAUCUGGAAAUGAGUCCCAGCUGCAAGCCCAGGGCGGCGGAAGCCCCACGGGCCGAGCCGAAGAAAGACGAGGCGGGGGACGGGGAGCGUAGUGCCGCGUGCCGGGACCCACAACCCCUUUCCCCUGGGCGCUCUUCCCCGAGCGGACAGGAAAAAGCUCUCCUUUGCCGCUGCCCAUCCCCCAGGGCCCAAGCGAUGCUUCCUAACCGCGUGGACGCAGCUUGAUGGGGGAGAAAGAGCUCUGGGAGCAGGGCUUAGAGCCUCGUCUCGCCUCCUGCCAACUCGGUCCGGCAAGGUUCCGAACCUCCCUGAGCCUCAGCUUCCUAAUCUGGCAAACAUGACGACAAAAGUCCUUCUCUUUUAAGGUUGGUGCAAAAAUUAAAUGGCCCUUUACUGUAUAUUUAGAGCACCUGGCUCACGGAUUAGUCACCUCGCUCCUGGGCUCAACAGUGUUCACUGGGUCCUUACAGCAUCACACUGGGAUCCUUAAGGGCAAAGACCAAAAUUAGACCUAGCUUAAUUCCUGGUGUGCAAGUGCUAAGUGUUAUGAAAUGAGUGAGUGACAGGAUGAUCCAGCUAUGAGAAAUAGGAGAGAGUUUGCGGUGGGAUAGAGACUGUACCUUCUUUUUGUAUAAGAUGUUUGGCAGUUGGGGAUAACUUACCGGAAGCAAGCUUAAGAUGCACACGAAAUCCUGACCAAGAGGAUGUAGAAAUUAGAUAUAUGGCCAAGAAUCAGAGAAGCAAAUAAACAGAUCUCAAAUAAAAUGUUUAGUUUUGAGGUUAGAGGUGGGAUAUCAGGGUAACCAGGCAAAAUAACUGAUACAAUAAAUAACUACAUGACAAAUCACUUCUCUCAACAACACAUUUCAAAAAAAAUCACUUUAUUUUAUAACUGCAAGAUUUUCUUCAAACCAGUUUCUUGCUAUUACAAGCUCAAAAACUUAUCCUGCUCUGGUGGCAAACAUUUUGUGACUCAUGCUGUGUAACAAAGACCUGUGUAGACAUUGAGUUGUAUAUUGCUGAUGCUUCUGAACAUAAAGGAAAAGUACAAAA
rnacentral:lncRNA from 1 species